GGGAUAGAAUUCCAGGAGUAGCGGUGAAAUGCGUAGAUAUCUGGAGGAAUACCAAAGGCGAAGGCAGUCCCCUGGUCCGAUACUGACACUGAGGUACGAAAGCGUGGGGAGCAAACAGGAUUAGAUACCCUGGUAGUCCACGCCCUAAACGAUGUCGAUUAGCCAUUGGAAGGACCCCUUUUCCUUUCAGUGACGUAGCUAACGCGUUAAAUCGACCGCCUGGGAAGUACGACCGCUAGGUUAAAACUCAAAGGAAUUGACGGGGACCUGAACAAGCGGUGAAUGAUGUGGAUUAAUUCGAUGCUACGCGAAGAACCUUACCUACCUUUGACAUGGCCAAAGUUCUACCGAGAGGCGGAAGUACUCGUAAGAGGAUUGGCGCACAGGUGCUGCAUGGUUGUCGUCAGUUCGUGUCGUGAGAUGUUGGGUUCAGUCCCGCAACGAACGCAACCCUUAUCUUUAAUUGCUCCUAUUUUAACAGGCACUUUAAAGAAACUGCCAAUGAUAAGUUGGAGGAAGGUGGGGAUCACGUCAAGUCCGCAUGGCCUUUAUAGGUAGGGCUUCACACGUCAUACAAUGGUUAGAACAAAGAGCUGCAAAUUCGUAAGAAGGAGCCAAUCUCACAAACCUAACCUCAGUUCGAAUUGCGGUCUGCAACUCGAGCGCAUGAAGCCGGAAUCGCUAGUAAUCGUGGAUCAGAAUGCCACGGUGAAUACGUUCUUAGGUCUU
rnacentral:rRNA from 1 species